rnacentral:lncRNA from 1 species
CUUGCCUCUAUAUAAGUACUAAUCAUCUAUGGUAUUAUAGUGGUGCAAUGUCCAAGGUUGAAAAACCAUUCAUCAUAUAUGAGCAGGAAGAUGGGUCUUGUGAUGUUUUGGACAGGAAGGUUAUGAGCGAAUAGGUUAAUAUGUCAUCAGUUGGAGUUAUUUGAUGAGAGGCAAGGACAUGUCGAUUGGUGAUCUUUGUGUUUUUAAAUAGUCAAAGAGCAAAGGGAAGAUAUUGGUUGCAAAACCUCCAAAACAUGUAGCAUGAGUUUAAAAUUGUCAAAAUUUAUGGUGGAGAAAAGGGAAGGAAGAUACUUUUGAGGUUAAAAGUGUUAUUUUAAUACUUUUAUUUGUUGUUAAUUAAAUUUUCCUACCCGGACAUGUCCGGGUUAUAACCUAGU